AAAAUAUAUAGUGCUCACUGUAUAGUUGAUAAAAUGUAGAUACACUAUAUAUUUUAUCCUUUUACCUCGAGCUGGACUACAUUUUAUCAACUAUACAGUGAGCACUAUAUAUU